rnacentral:tRNA from 4 species
GGGCCUGUAGCUCAAUUGGUUAGAGUCGGCGGCUCAUAACCGCUUGGUUGGGGGUUCGAGUCCCUCCGGGCCCACCA